AAAACUAAGUCAUAUAAGUCAGAAAGUGAUAGAUCGUGUAAAUUUGUAUGAGAUU
rnacentral:guide_RNA from 1 species